UCACCCAGGUAUGAAGUGGUGACCGAAAGC
rnacentral:piRNA from 1 species